UAAAGUGGAUUAAUGAUUGUGUGAUGACUGUAGCCAUGUGAACGGGUUAUCGUACGGCAAAACCCAUCACGUAAAGAAGAGUCUUCAACUUUUCAAGAAAGGAAUGCCUUGUUUUGCUAUCAACACAAAGCUCGGAACAGGAAGCUUUAAUAACAAUGAAUACAGUAGGGCACAGUCGACAGUGACAAUUUUCGGAUAAACUUCCUGGUUUUUGUCAAAGGGGCAGAACCUACUACCUGGUAGUUUCAAUGAUGAGCUAUCAUGAUAUAGGGCUAAAAGAUGGAUGUGCCAAAUCCACCUCAUGAAAAACAGAUUGGGCAAAAAAGGAGUGCGAACACUAAAUG